UACAGGGGGUGCAAACGUUGCUCGGAAUCAUUGGGCGUAAAGCGCACGUAGGCGGUUCGUUAUGUCGGAUGUGAAAGCCCUUGGCUUAACCGAGGAAGUGCAUCCGAAACUGGCGAGCUAGAGUACGAAAGAGGAUCGCGGAAUUCCCGGUGUAGAGGUGAAAAUCGUAGAUAUCGGGAGGAACACCGGUGGCGAAGGCGGCGAUCUGGGUCGAUACUGACGCUGAGGUGCGAAAGCGUGGGGAGCAAACAGG
rnacentral:rRNA from 1 species